UGCAAAAUGUUAAAAGAGUUCAGAGGCUGC
rnacentral:piRNA from 1 species